GGGGGUGCAAGGUUAAUCGAAUUACUGGGCGUAAAGCGCGCGUAGGCGUUUGUUAAGUGUGAUGGUGAAAGCCCAGGGCUCAACCUUGGAACUGCAUCACAUACUGGCAAGCUAGAGUACGGUAGAGGGGGGUAGAAUUCCAUGUGUAGCGGUGAAAUGCGUAGAGAUGUGGAGGAAUACCAGUGGCGAAGGCGGGCCCCUGGUACGUAUACGACGCUGAGGAACGAAAGCAUGGGUAGCGAAGAGGAUUAGAUACCCUCGUGUACCAUGCCGUAAACGAUGUGUGUUAGACGU
rnacentral:rRNA from 1 species